UACCAAGAAGCUUGGCUGUUGCUGGUGAAAGAAUAUUACACAAGUAGGGCCAGGAUUACUGUCUUGCCAAACAGGACAGAACACUAAGCCUCUGUAUUUAGUUGCUAAUUUAUUGUGACAGAGGAGCAUAUUGAUCUGUCCCCGUGAUUGUGCAGUUAGCAAAACCCAGGCUUUGAGAAACCCUGUAGGUCAAAUACCCCAGGCUCCUCCACAGAUAAUCUCUGAGGGAAAGACAGAGUUGUGGGGAGCAUGUGGGGGUUGUACCAGGAUUUAAAAGAUACACGGCAAUUUUAGAAAUUAGCAAGUCUAAACUAUGAUACCUAAGGAUGCACACCUGGGUGAUAAAAUUAUAAAGAAAUGGCCGGGUGUGGUGGCUCACACCUGUAAUCCCAGCACUUUUAGAGGCCGAGGUGGGUGGAUCACCUGAGGUCAGGAGUUCGAGACAAGCCUGACCAACAUGGAGAAACCUCGUCUCUACUAAAAAUACAAAAUUAGCCGGGCGUGGUGGCACAUGCCUGUAAUCCCAGCUACUCCGGAGGCUGAGGCAGGAGAAUCGCUUGAACCUGGGAGGCGGAGGUUGUGGUGAGCCAAGGGAUCACUGAGAUUCUGAUGAACAGACCUUCUGCCCGCAAUGCCUUGGGGAAUGUCUUCGUCAGUGAGGUAAGAAAGGGCGGGCGCCAGGGUGGGCUGGGGAUGGGCUGGCACUAUCUAACUGGGUGUCCUCUGUAGCUGCUGGAAACUCUGGCCCAGCUGCGGGAGGACCGGCAAGUGCGUGUCCUGCUCU
rnacentral:sRNA from 1 species